AACCUAGGGGGCCAGCGUUGCUCGGAAUUACUGGGCGUAAAGGGUUCGUAGGCGGUGCGGCAAGUCGGAAGUGAAAUCUCUGGGCUUAACCCUGAGGCUGCUCCCGAAACUGCCGUGCUCGAGUGCGAGAGAGGCGAGUGGAAUUGCAGGUGUAGCGGUGAAAUGCGUAGAUAUCUGCAGGAACACCCGGGGCGAAGGCGGCUCGCUGGACCGCAACUGACGCUGAGGAACGAAAGCUAGGGGAGCAAACAGG
rnacentral:rRNA from 1 species